GACGUAGGGCGCGAGCGUUGUCCGGAUUUAUUGGGCGUAAAGAGCUCGUAGGCGGCUUGUUGCGUCGACCGUGAAAACCCGGGGCUCAACUUCGGGCUUGCGGUCGAUACGGGCGGGCUAGAGUCCGGAAGAGGAGAGUGGAAUUCCUGGUGUAGCGGUGAAAUGCGCAGAUAUCAGGAAGAACACCCGUGGCGAAGGCGGCUCUCUGGGACGGUACUGACGCUGAGACGCGAAAGCGUGGGGAGCGAACAGG
rnacentral:rRNA from 1 species